GGCAAGGACAGUUUGCAGUAGCUCUAGCCCUAAGACAGACACAUGUGCAGGACACAGCCACGGUAAAGGCUGCAGAUAAAUUCAACUGUGUAAGGAAGAUCCAGUUACAUGUGGGCAACGGCAGCCAAUGGGCUGGGGCCUGAGAAUCAGCAUUCAUCCGUUUCUUGACUGUGUGACAGCCUGAAUCCAACCUCAGUGUGCCUCUGUCAGAUUAACAGGAUAGCUGGAAGUCCCGCUGGCCAUCGGACACUCGUUCAUUAGGUGCUAACUAUGUGUCAGGCACUGGGUACUGGGAUGCGAUGGUGAACAAGACAGCCACAGACCAGCUCUCCUUGGAAACUGAGCUCAGAGGUGGAAACCAACCUAAAUAAACGGUCACGAUCAAGCUGUCAGUAGGACCGAUUCCUUGGAGAAACUCUGGAAAUAGUGAGUGCCUUCUGCUUCCCCAGUUCCCAGAAGCCCUCUGCAACCCUUAGCUUGUGGCCCCUUUGAUCUUCAAUAUCAGCAAUUACCAGUCAAGUCUUUUUCACGCUGCGUCCUUUGACCUCUUCUCUUGCUUCUAUCUUUCACUUUCAAGCACAUUUGUGAUGAUUUGGGGCUUACCUGGACAAUCUACAGUUAUGUUUUCUGGGAAACAUAACACAGUCACGACUUUUAGGUGGUGUCUGUGCCUGUCGCAGGCAGUUGGACUGACAAAAUAUGAACCGUGCUCAGAUGCCAAGAGCACACAGUGGCUGUGCAAUGAGGGAGCCCGAGGAUGGCCACUGAUGGCAGGCAUUUCGGAACCCUUCUCCAAAGCUCUAGAGCUCUAGACCAAUGAUUCUCAACCUUCUUUUUUAAUGUGCAUUGGUAUUUUGCCUACAUGUAUGUCUGUAUGAAAGUUUCAGAUCUUGGAUUACAGACAUCUGUGAGCUGCCAUGUGGGUGCUGGGAAUUGAACCUGGAUCCUCUGGAAAAGCAGCUAGAUGCUCUUAACUGCUGAGCCAUCUCUCCAGCCCCCGGUUCUCAACAUUCUUAAUGCUGAGACCUUUAAUAUAUUUCUCAUGUUGUAGUGACUCCCAACGAUAAAAUUAUUUUUGUUACUACUGUUAUGAAUUGUAAUAUCUGUUUUUUUUUAUAGUCUCAGGUGAUCCCUGUGAAAGGCAACCCACUGACUGAGAAGCCCUGCCCUAGUGGUCAGCUGGCAUCCCUGAGUAAGAGCUAGCUCCUCUGAGGGGGUCUAGCUCCUCAUUCGCAGGGCCUGCUUUCAAGUGCUAGGAAUUACUAAGAUCUAAAGACUUGGGAUGCAGAUAUUGGUGAGAGGUGCUAUUCUGCAUGCCAUGAGGUAUUGCUGAGAGAAGGAGGAAGAAAAAGAAUAGGAGGAAAGAAAUUACACCGAGUCACUCUCAUCUGAAGUCUGAUUGCACCCAGGAUAAAAGACCUUCUCGGACAAUUACCGGAUGGUCUGGGAGAGGGAGCCAAAGGGCAGGGACUGCUAGAUGGCUCUAGAAGCCAUUUAGAGAUUUGCACAUUGCUGCUAUCCUAAAUCCUACUUCCUCAGUUAGGACACGGGCAAACAGAAGUGCACCUGCAGACUGGCCUUUGCCAAGUAGAGAAGCCUCAGGUGUUAUAACUGAGGACUAGUAUGUGCAGACUCCAAGCAAGGAAGAUCAUUUUUCAUCACUGGCCAUCGCAGAGGCCAGCGGGCAGGGCUGCUGUGAGGACCCUGACAUGCCCAGGUGUAUGCCCUAGCCUGCCAUCAUUCGGACAGGCUAGACGAUGAUGCAGUAUAAGGGAGGAGUGAUUUACUCUGGCUCACAGUUUCAGACCUUUCAGCCCGAAACCAUGUGGCCCCAUUGCUUUUUACCUGAGGUGGGGUAGACUACCAUGGUGACAAGGACAUAUGACAGAGCAGUGGAAAGACAAGGGACCAGAGACAGAGGCAUAUCCCAAGUGACCUGCUUCCUCUAGCCAGAUCUGGUCUAAGAUUUCCUCCACUUAUCAAAUUAGGAAUUUGUGACUUCAUCCCCCAGUCACAUCAGAGUUCUCCAAGUCUAAUGAGCACUCGGUGACUGGAUCCAUGAGCUGAGGACUAAACUCCAACACUCAUGCCUUUUCACAGAGGGGCUGCCAUCAAGCCUGUACUUCCUGCUGAUAAGUUAAUCUACACAGAAUACUCUCAUCUCACCUUGCAGCACUGAGGAGAAGAGGAAAGGACCAGAGGAGGCAGCAAGCAGCCCUUUUUAGGGCAUGGCCUAGAAUGGACUCUUUCAGCUUUGGCACUGAUGACACUUGUGCCAAGCAACUCUUUUGUGUAAGGGGCUGUUUUGUACAGCAUAGCUUGUGCCACGCCUCUAGAAUCCACCUUCUAGAUAACAGGAAUCACAGCUUCUGGAAGUGACCGUGAAGAACGUCUCCAGACUUUGUCAAAUGCUCUGGGAAGCAAAGUCGCAUGCAGUUAAGUGGAUAUAGGAGAGAGCAUGCUAUUCUGGUACCCUCCUCUUGCUCAGAACUUAGGAAACGGUCACUCCUCUAAAGUGUAAGCAGGGGUUCUAUCAGUAAGGAAGUGGCUGACACGUGGCUUCAGCUGGUGGUCUCUGGGAGACUAACAGCUUCCGAGCCUCUGCUUAGUGUCCGAGUCACGCUCCUGAACACAUGGGAUGUGCUGUGAGGAUGGUCGCUAGUGAGAGGAGUUUCUGAACCUGUCUCCAGAGUCCUAGCUGGUCAGUUGGCAUCCCUGAGGCAACGCUAUCUGAGGAGUUGGCCCUUUAACCACUGGACUUGCUUCCCAAUGCUGGGGGAGUCAAAGACAUUUCCUGGAGCCACAGGCUUCCCAGUUCUAUGUCACACUGAAUGCGAACUUUGGCUUUAACUUCUGGCUCUGUCUUACAUGCGUCCAGAGUGACUUUGCUUCUCCCAUAGUGGGUUUCAAAGGCGAACAGUAUUGGCUUUUAUUUUGACCAUGAGUUAGCUCUGUGGUUCUUUGUCAUCCUGCUUUCCUCGUCUGUAAAGUUAGGGCAGGGUCCGCUUUCACUCAGGGUUGUUGGGGGAAUUAAGUGAGAUGAUGUGGAAGAGAGACUUGUGCUCAUUCUUCAGACUUCAACACCUAAGGGCCUGGCAAAUUGAUACUCAGGUUUAAGCACUGGAGUCUGGGUCUCCAGGGUUAACAUGAGUGCUUCGUAGGCAUGGCAGCCUACUUGAAAUCCGGGAACUGUGGGAUUUGAUGAGGAUGGGGAACGCCAAGGGAAACAGGGUACUCAGAGCACGCUGGUCAACAAGCCAACAGAACAGUGGCCUCUGUGCCCAGUAAACACGCUGGUGAGCAGCAGUGAAGUAUGACACCUAAGAUCAACUUCUGUCCUGCAUGUGUGUGUGCACAUACACAUAUCCAUAUUUCACACACACCCCCAUACAUAUGCAUACAUGGGAAAAGAAGGAGAAAGAAGACUGACUAGCAGCCGCAUGUCGAGGAGAGCAGGAUCUUAUCUUCGCAGUGUUUCCCUGUGGUAUUUACUGCCCUUGUUAUGGUCGUUGAUUCUAGAACUUGCCAGCCAGUGGGUAGAUGAGGCUGAACCAAUACAUACUGGGUCUGCAUGUGGAAGAAUGAGGCUUGCAGCCAACGGCCGUCCACAUCUCUGAUGAGGAUCAGCACCUCAACUGUCAACUGAUGAAUCUGAGCUCAUUUGCUGAAGGGAUAAACCAACCAGUGAAUCUCAACUCCAUCCUUCUACCACUCGGGCCUUAACUCUAGUGCCAGACAAGAGAAAGGGAAAAAUUCUUGGAACCUCUAGAGCUAGCCACACUUGAAAAAGAGAAGAGCUAGAUGUCUUUUGAACCAUCCUGUCUGCUUGACCAGUAGGACUGCUCUGUAUCAGUGCCUAAGUCCCUCCCUAUGGGGUCUCCUUCUUGUCUUAGAGUCAGUUGAGGGGAGCCCCCAAUGCCUUUCUCCCUGUUGCUCAUGAAGGACACUACUGGUUGACCACAGCUCUUUCCCAUGCUGCUCUGGACAGCAGUCACAUCUUUGCCAUUAUGGAACUAGCUAGCAAUCAUGCCUCAUGCUGUCACCUGUAAGAAGGGAGAGUAUUUACUCCCAUAGCCCAUGAGCAGUGUCUACAGCUGUGGACUGUCCAGAGACUAGAUAACCAGUGAUUCAGAAGCCUGGCUGCAGAUCUGGUCGCUUGAAUAAAAAUGCCCCACGUGCCUAGAGGGGGUGGCACUAUUAGGAGGUGUGACCUUAUUGGGAUAGGUGUGGCCUUGCUGGAGGAACUUUGUCCUUGUGGGGACAAGCUUUGAUAUCUCAGAAGCUCAAGUCAGUUCACUUCCACUGCCUGUGGAUCAAGAUGUAGAACUCUCAGCUCCAUCUUCAGCACCAUGGCCGGACUGCUUCAUACUGCCGCGUUUCCCACCGUGAUGAUAAUAGACUAAACCUUUGAAACUGUAAGCCGGCCCCAAUUAAAUGUUUUCCUUUAUCAGAGUUGUCACGGUCACAGUCUCUCUUCAUAGCAAUAAAAAUCCUAACUAUGACACUUGGGAUGCUCUGCGAAUUGUAUCUCUGGGCCCCAGCAUUUAGCAUAUUCCUGUUCUUUCUCUAUGGUGCCAU
rnacentral:lncRNA from 1 species